AUUGAACGCUGGCGGCAGGCCUAACACAUGCAAGUCGAGCGGAGCGGCGGACGGGUGAGUAAUGCCUAGGAAUCUGCCUGGUAGUGGGGGAUACCGUCCGGAAACGGGCGCUAAUACCGCAUCCUAUCAGAUGAGCCUAGGUCGGCUUAGCUAGUUGGUGGGGUAAAGGCCUACCAAGGCGACGAUCCGUAACUGGUCUGAGAGGAUGAUCCGGCCAACUGGAACGGAGACACGGUCCAGACUCCUAAGGGAGGGAGCAGUGGGGAAUAAUGGAAAAUGGGCGAAAGCCUGGUUCAGGCAUUGCGCGUGGGGGAAGAAGGUCUUCGGAUUUGAAAGGACUUUAAGUUGGGAGGCGUUACCAACAGAAUAAGCACCGGCUAACUUCGUGCCAGCAGCCGCGGUAAUUC
rnacentral:rRNA from 1 species